GGUCCCGUAGCUCAAUUGGAUAGAGCACCUGCCUUCUAAGCAGGGGGUUCCAGGUUCGAGUCCUGGCGGGAUCGCCA
rnacentral:tRNA from 1 species